GGAAAUGUCUCCUUUCCGCUAUCAAUGGAGGCACUCGAUCAUGCUGUGGGUUGUAUAAACCUUAGACGCCAGUCGUCAAAAGUGUGGUGUGAGGCCGGGUUAGAUGCCC
rnacentral:ncRNA from 1 species